UCCCCGGCUAGCUCAGUUGGUAGAGCAUGAGACUCUUAAUCUCAGGGUCGUGUGUUCGAGCCCCACGUAAAAGAUUCGGGGAG